AUUGAACGCUGGCGGCGUGCCUAAUACAUGCAAGUCGAACGCAGUGGGGACGGGGGAGUAACACGUGGGUAACCUCCCAUCAGAGGGGAUAACACUUGGAAACAGGUGCUAAUCCGAUACCGAAGGAUGAAACCGCGGUGCAUUAGCUAGUUGGUGAGGUAACGGCGCACCAAGGCCACGAUGCAUAGCCAACCUGAAGGAGAGAACGGCAACACUGGAACUGAGACAGGGCCCAGACUCCUACGGUAGGCAGCAGUAGGAAAUCUUCGGCAAGGGACAAUAGUCUGACCGAGCAACGCGGAGUGAGUGAGGAAGGUGUUCGGCGCGUAAAACUCUGUUGUUCGAGCAGCGGUAUCUAACCAGAAAGCCACGGCUAACUACGUGCCAGCAGCCGCGGUAAUAC
rnacentral:rRNA from 1 species